AUCCAGCUGAUUAGUCUUAAAUAGGACGAGACGUGCGUCCUAGAU
rnacentral:hammerhead_ribozyme from 1 species